UGCAGGUGGCUUAGUGGUAUAGAACUUGCCAAGCAUGCAUGAGGCCCUGGGUUUGAUCCCCAGCACUGCCA
rnacentral:tRNA from 1 species